UUAUUAUUUUUUUUGCAGAUGGGUCUCUUCUUCUUCUUCUGAUUUUCUUCUUCUUCUUCUUCUUAUUCACCAUUGCAAUGAACCCUUCUUCACCACUGCAAUGAACCCCGGCAUUAACAGCAACUACCAGGGUCUGGAUUUGUCUUCCUCUUAUUAUUUAUUUUGCAGAUGGGGUCUCUUCCUCUUCUGAUUUUCUUCUUCUUCUUUCUAUUCACCGUUGCAAUGAACCCUUCUUCACCACUGCAAUGAACCCCGGCACUAACAGCAACUACCAGGGUCUGGAUCGAGACUACCCAUGAACGCAUGCAAGUGUCAUAUCCUGGAUUGACAUUAUUCCGCAUCCCUACUCACCCCGCCACUAAAAUUUGUGAUGUUCUUCUUGUCUGUAUGGUCAUCGACGUCGUGUGGUGUUUUCCGAGGAGGAGGUAUUUUUCAUCGAAGGUGCCUCACAUACAUACAUACACAGAGACCCAAAAAAGAAGAAACAUGGAAAAAAAAGGGAAAAAAGUGUUUGCUGAAGAGAAUGGCCUCAAAGGAGACCCACGACUUCCAACCAUUUGUCAAGCAUCAGAGUUGUUCCUUACUUCCCCAAAUAAGAUUUAUAGCUGUGGCUGUUUGGGUUCAUAAGAUGCUUAGAAAUCUGAAAUUGAUGGUGUGCCGCACAAAAGAUCAAUGAAAAGAUAUGCAGGAGACCAACUAUAAGCUAAUAGAAUAAAUCUAGCCAUAGAAUAAAAAAGGUCAGUAAAUAAUCUUGCAUUUUUUUUAACGUUGUUGAAACUUAUGGUUGAGCAGGACAUAAUUGAACUUUGUUAAUUGGAGGGAGUGAGUGAAGGAUUGUUGAUGGUGUUUUUUUAAUAGCUAAUUGGUGUUAAAAAUACAUUCAUGAAAAUACUCAUAUCUCUUUAAAAAGAGUUACUUAAUGAUAAUAAUUGAACUUAUUUAAUAGGGUAAAUAUGUAUGAUGUCAAUUUUUACUCAAUUUAAUGUCAAGUAUGGCAUAUAUUGUCCUAUUUUAUGCAUCGAAUAGCUUGUAUUCACUCAUAGAUAUUGUUUGUAUGCUUGCGGAGAAAAUGAUUGUGAAACUAAUAGGAAAAAUCAAGCAAAUAAAAUUCUAGGAAGACUAUUUAUAGCUCAAAAUAUGUUCAUCCCACAUAGAAAAUAAUGUUAGCACUAUGGUUAGGACAACAAUAAAGAAAAAGUGAUUUUACUAGAAUUGGUUUUACUAGAAUUGAGUGAGAAAAUUUGUAUUAAAAA